rnacentral:rRNA from 1 species
GAUGAACGCUGGCGGCGUGCCUAAUACAUGCAAGUCGAGCGAACGGACGAGAAGCUUGCUUCUCUGAUGUUAGCGGCGGACGGGUGAGUAACACGUGGAUAACCUACCUAUAAGACUGGGAUAACUUCGGGAAACCGGAGCUAAUACCGGAUAAUAUUUUGAACCGCAUGGUUCAAAAGUGAAAGACGGUCUUGCUGUCACUUAUAGAUGGAUCCGCGCUGCAUUAGCUAGUUGGUAAGGUAACGGCUUACCAAGGCAACGAUGCAUAGCCGACCUGAGAGGGUGAUCGGCCACACUGGAACUGAGACACGGUCCAGACUCCUACGGGAGGCAGCAGUAGGGAAUCUUCCGCAAUGGGCGAAAGCCUGACGGAGCAACGCCGCGUGAGUGAUGAAGGUCUUCGGAUCGUAAAACUCUGUUAUUAGGGAAGAACAUAUGUGUAAGUAACUGUGCACAUCUUGACGGUACCUAAUCAGAAAGCCACGGCUAACUACGUGCCAGCAGCCGCGGUAAUACGUAGGUGGCAAGCGUUAUCCGGAAUUAUUGGGCGUAAAGCGCGCGUAGGCGGUUUUUUAAGUCUGAUGUGAAAGCCCACGGCUCAACCGUGGAGGGUCAUUGGAAACUGGAAAACUUGAGUGCAGAAGAGGAAAGUGGAAUUCCAUGUGUAGCGGUGAAAUGCGCAGAGAUAUGGAGGAACACCAGUGGCGAAGGCGACUUUCUGGUCUGUAACUGACGCUGAUGUGCGAAUGCGUGGGGAUCAAACAGGAUUAGAUACCCUGGUAGUCCACGCCGUAAACGAUGAGUGCUAAGUGUUAGGGGGUUUCCGCCCCUUAGUGCUGCAGCUAACGCAUUAAGCACUCCGCCUGGGGAGUACGACCGCAAGGUUGAAACUCAAAGGAAUUGACGGGGACCCGCACAAGCGGUGGAGCAUGUGGUUUAAUUCGAAGCAACGCGAAGAACCUUACCAAAUCUUGACAUCCUUUGACAACUCUAGAGAUAGAGCUUUCCCCUUCGGGGGACAAAGUGACAGGUGGUGCAUGGUUGUCGUCAGCUCGUGUCGUGAGAUGUUGGGUUAAGUCCCGCAACGAGCGCAGCCCUUAAGCUUAGUUGCCAUCAUUAAGUUGGGCACUCUAAGUUGACUGCCGGUGACAAACCGGAGGAAGGUGGGGAUGACGUCAAAUCAUCAUGCCCCUUAUGAUUUGGGCUACACACGUGCUACAAUGGACAAUACAAAGGGCAGCGAAACCGCGAGGUCAAGCAAAUCCCAUAAAGUUGUUCUCAGUUCGGAUUGUAGUCUGCAACUCGACUACAUGAAGCUGGAAUCGCUAGUAAUCGUAGAUCAGCAUGCUACGGUGAAUACGUUCCCGGGUCU